rnacentral:misc_RNA from 1 species
AAGUCGUAACAAGGUAACCGUAGGUGAACCUGCGGUUGGAUCAUUAAUAAAUCUAGAAGGCCUUAAUGGCCUCUCUAACAUCUUGUGAAUCGUUUAUGUCUCUAGUGUGUCUAGGCACACUGGAUAAACUUUGUAUUAAUAUUUGUCUUUAAAAUUUUAAAAAAGUAAUUAAAACAACUUUUGACAACGGAUCUCUAGGCUCUCA